CACGCAGAGAGCUUGCUCUCUGGUGACGAGUGGCGGACGGGUGAGUAAUGUCUGGGAAACUGCCUGAUGGAGGGGGAUAACUACUGGAAACGGUAGCUAAUACCGCAUAACGUCGCAAGACCAAAGAGGGGGACCUUCGGGCCUCUUGCCAUCAGAUGUGCCCAGAUGGGAUUAGCUAGUAGGUGGGGUAACGGCUCACCUAGGCGACGAUCCCUAGCUGGUCUGAGAGGAUGACCAGCCACACUGGAACUGAGACACGGUCCAGACUCCUACGGGAGGCAGCAGUGGGGAAUAUUGCACAAUGGGCGCAAGCCUGAUGCAGCCAUGCCGCGUGUAUGAAGAAGGCCUUCGGGUUGUAAAGUACUUUCAGCGGGGAGGAAGGNANUNNAGUUAAUACCUUCANNNAUUGACGUUACCCGCAGAAGAAGCACCGGCUAACUCCGUGCCAGCAGCCGCGGUAAUACGGAGGGUGCAAGCGUUAAUCGGAAUUACUGGGCGUAAAGCGCACGCAGGCGGUCUGUCAAGUCNGAUGUGAAAUCCCCGGGCUCAACCUGGGAACUGCAUUUGAUACUGGCANGCUNGAGUCUUGUAGAGGGGGGUAGAAUUCCAGGUGUAGCGGUGAAAUGCGUAGAGAUCUGGAGGAAUACCGGUGGCGAAGGCGGCCCCCUGGACAGAAGACUGACGCUCAGGUGCGAAAGCGUGG
rnacentral:rRNA from 1 species